AUCUCUGUCCCUGACUGCCCUCUCUUGGCCACACAGCUUCCUCAGCUCACCGAUCUUGUUCCUGAGCAGUGCAGUGGAGAGGCUGCAAAGUGUGCUGAUGAAGACAGACAGGUGAAGAAGAAGAAGAAGAAGAAGAAGGGAAUCCGUGCAUUCUUCAGAGGGCUUUGGAAGAGGAUGAUUUGUUCCUCUGGAAUCCCCAAAGAGGACUGAGGC